UACGGAGGGUGCAAGCGUUAUCCGGAUUCACUGGGCUUAAAGGGUGCGUAGGUGGGCAGGUAAGUCAGUGGUGAAAUCUCCGGGCUUAACCCGGAAACUGCCGUUGAUACUAUCUGUCUUGAAUAUCGCGUAGGUAAGCGGAAUAUGUCAUGUAGCGGUGAAAUGCUUAGAUAUGACAUAGAACACCAAUGGCGAAGGCAGCUCACUACUCAAUCAUUGACGCUGAGGCACGAAAGCGUGGGGAUCAAACAGG
rnacentral:rRNA from 1 species